rnacentral:rRNA from 1 species
GGUUAAGCGACUAAGCGUACACGGUGGAUGCCCUGGCAGUCAGAGGCGAUGAAGGACGUGCUAAUCUGCGAUAAGCGCCGGUAAGGUGAUAUGAACCGUUAUAACCGGCGAUUUCCGAAUGGGGAAACCCAGUGUGACUCGUCACACUAUCAUUAACUGAAUCCAUAGGUUAAUGAGGCGAACCGGGGGAACUGAAACAUCUAAGUACCCCGAGGAAAAGAAAUCAACCGAGAUUCCCCCAGUAGCGGCGAGCGAACGGGGAGGAGCCCAGAGCCUGAAUCAGCAUGUGUGUUAGUGGAAGCGUCUGGAAAGGCGCGCGAUACAGGGUGACAGCCCCGUACACAAAAGCGCAUGUGCUGUGAGCUCGAUGAGUAGGGCGGGACACGUGGUAUCCUGUCUGAAUAUGGGGGGACCAUCCUCCAAGGCUAAAUACUCCUGACUGACCGAUAGUGAACCAGUACCGUGAGGGAAAGGCGAAAAGAACCCCGGCGAGGGGAGUGAAAAAGAACCUGAAACCGUGUACGUACAAGCAGUGGGAGCCCCACCACUAAGCCAGUGGUGAACUCCACAUACGCAUCCUUUGCUGAGGAUACGGUUAACGGAGCGAAAGCGACGUUCAACCKCAAAAGAAGCAGAGGGGGCUUAGUGGUGGGGUGACUGCGUACCUUUUGUAUAAUGGGUCAGCGACUUAUAUUCUGUAGCAAGGUUAACCGUAUAGGGGAGCCGCAGGGAAACCGAGUCUUAACCGGGCGUUAAGUUGCAGGGUAUAGACCCGAAACCCGGUGAUCUAGCCAUGGGCAGGUUGAAGGUUGGGUAACACUAACUGGAGGACCGAACCGACUAAUGUUGAAAAAUUAGCGGAUGACCUGUGGCUGGGGGUGAAAGGCCAAUCAAACCGGGAG